rnacentral:ribozyme from 1 species
AAUAAAUGAUGUUGAUGAUGUCGUUGAAUCUGAAGCUUCUAGAAGAAUAGCAUAGGCUCUUCAUUCCCUACUUCCACUCAAUACGUCGACGAUUUACUUAUCUGAGAACGGGACUUUAGACAGCUAAGAUGCGUAGG